rnacentral:lncRNA from 1 species
CAAACUAGCGGUUGCAGUAAUAUUUAUUCAGACUACAUUUAUGCAUGGGAUUACAUCUUUUUAGUUUGGAGGCACAGUUCAUCUGAAAGGAGAUUGUCGUCAUGACCACAAUAUGUUGGAAAAUUAGCAGGUGGUGGAGGGAGAGAUGUGUCCAUUGUAGGACCAUCCUCUACAAUGAAUACUGCAGCCAUGCCCAUGGUCAAAUGAAACUCAAAGUGGCAAUGUAUGAACCAUACUCCUGUAAAUCAUAGAAGAUAUAUAAGAAUUAUAUCUGAGAGCUUCGAUUUAGAAGCCCAACUAACACA